GGGUGCUCCCUGUCCAGCAAACACGCACUGAGGAAAGGACAGCUCCUGGGAGCACAGGGGGCAAGAGGCCAAGGGAAGACAGCGGAGAUCCCUGCAGUGUUAAAGCGUUAAGAGAACCCAACCAUAAGCUGGAAUUUACCUGUUUAUUCCUCGUUAUGGUGUGUAACAAGCAGCUCACCGCUUAUAAAGUUUUAGCUCUCUCAGGCCUGUUCUACACUCAGCAAGAAAGCUGCGGUUAAGUCUUCACCCAUACGCUUGCUCAUUCUUUACCUACAGAAAAUGAGUGUUUGUGUGUGGGGGUGAAAGCAUAAGGAGAGGCUGAUUAGGACCAUUAAGGCCAAUUAAUGCAAUCAGGGCCCUGAUGCUGGCAUCUCACCUCGCCUGUUUUGUGUUGUUGAGUCACAAGUUCUCUCCACCUCCAGGACACUGCUUGCUAAUCCCCCACCAUCUCUAGGUGCUGGGAGGAACUAUGUGGAAGUGCUACACGGGAAUUUAGGGUGUCUCUGAAAGGCACCUACAUGUUCAAGGAUUAGCCAGAAGUGUGCUUCCCAGGGGCCAUCACACUCCGCCAUGUAACUCUGCACGUGCUUCCUGAGUGUCUCCACAGUUAUAUCUGCACUGCCUGUAACCAAGCACAUCCCAUGAGCACAUGUUCAGUGGUUGAAGAAGAUAAAUUUAGACUUCAUUGGACCCGGAGGAAUUAAAGAUUUUACUGAGCAAACAAGUCACUGGCUGCUCAAGGAGAUUUGCCAGAGGGACUGUGCGGCAGAUACACAGUCAAGGCAGAAACAGAGUAAAACUGAGAAAGAACAAAGGUGGGAGCAGAUGGGCCUUCAUCUGGCUGAGCGCAGCUGCUGCUACAUUCUUACUUGCUGACUGAUCUGCAGAAUCUUUUCUAAGGACUGUCUGCUUCACCUUAACAGAAACGACCUGAACAGGGCAGAAUGCUUUGCCUUUACACUGAAAUUCAACCUCCUCAAGGUGCAGAAUGCCUCUAAUUCAGUAAGUCAUAACAAGCUGU